CUUCUACUGACCUCAGAGUCUUCAGGCUGCAGUCUGGACUCUCCACAAGAUCUAACAGAUGUUUCACUGAUGAAUCCUGCAGGUUGUUCCUGCUCAGGUCCAGAUGUUCCAGAUGUGAGGGGUUGGACUUCAGAGCUGAGACCAGAGAAUCACAGCUGAUCUCUGACAAACUGCAGUUCCACAAUCUGAAUAAAGAAUUAAAGAUGUGUAUAAAAUCA